rnacentral:rRNA from 1 species
GACGAACGCUGGCGGCGUGCUUAACACAUGCAAGUCGAACGAUGAAGCCGGAGCUUGCUCUGGUGAAUUAGUGGCGAACGGGUGAGUAACACGUGAGUAACCUGCCCUUGACUCUGGGAUAACUGCUAGAAAUGGUAGCUAAUACCGGAUACGACCCUCGGAGGCAUCUCCAGGGGGUGGAAAGAAUUUCGGUCAAGGAUGGACUCGCGGCCUAUCAGCUAGUUGGUGAGGUAACGGCUCACCAAGGCGACGACGGGUAGCCGGCCUGAGAGGGGGACCGGCCACACUGGGACGGAGACACGGCCCAGACUCCUACGGGAGGCAGCAGUGGGGAAUAUUGCACAAUGGGCGCAAGCCUGAUGCAGCAACGCCGCGUGGGGGAUGACGGCCUUCGGGUUGUAAACCUCUUUUAGUAGGGAAGAAGCGAAAGUGACGGUACCUGCAGAAAAAGCACCGGCUAACUACGUGCCAGCCGCCGCGGUAA